CCAUUGUACAUAAUAGAGAAUUAUGAUAAUAUUUGUUUAUAGAUUUUAUUGUUUUAUACGCAAUAUACGUUCUACGAACGUUAGGUAGCGAAUUGGUGAGUAACGACGUGGAAUCUACCUAUUAGUCACGGAAUAUCUUGGAAACAGAGCGUAAUACCCGUAUAUUUUCGAGAGAAAGAGAUUUAUCGCUAAUAGAUAGCCUGCGUCAGAUUAGUAGCUUGGUAAGGUAAAUGGCUACCUAGCUUAUGAUCGUGCUGGUCUGAGAGCGAUCAGCCAUUGGAUGAAGACACAGCUCAAACUUCUACGGAAGGCAGCAAGGUAGGAAAUUGGCCAAUGGCGAAAGCCUGAUCCGAAUACCGCGUGAAUGAUGACGGCUUGAAGGGUGUAAGUUCUUUUAGUAGGAAGAUAAUGACGGUACUCAGAAAAAAUCCCGGCUAACUCCGUCCACAGCCGCGAAGACGAGGGUAGCGUUGUUCGGAAUUACUGGCGUAAAAGCGCGUAGGUGGAUUGGACAAGUUGAAAGCGAAAGCCAAGCAGCUUAACACUCUUGAACUGUUCAAAACUCUAUGCCUAGAGUAUAUACAGGAAAUUGGAAUUACUAGUGGAGGUAAAAUUCUUAGAUUUAGGAGGAACCCAGUGGCGAAAGCGAUUAUCUGGGCCUAUUACUUGACACUGAGGCGCGAAAAGCGUGGGAGCAAACGGGAUUAGAAUACUAGUAGGUCGACGCUGUAAACGAUGAGUGCUAAAAGUUUGGGGAUUUAUUUCUUCAGUUUUGAAAGUAACAUGUUUAAGCACUCCGCUGGGGAGUACGGUCGCAAGAUAAAACUCAAAAGGCAUUGACGGGGGCUCCACAAGCGGAUGGAGCAUUGCCGGUUACAUUCGAUACUACGCAAAAACCUUACAGACCCCUUUGACAUGGUGGUUUUUACGAUCACAGAAUGAGAUCUUAGUCUGGCUGGACCACACACAGGUGUUGCAUGGCUGUCGUCAGCCGGCGUGACAUGUUGGGUAGUCCCGACGACGCAACCUCAUUUUUAUUUGCCAGCGGGUAAAUGCCGGAAACUAUAAAAAACUGGCCGGUGAAAACCGGAGGGCAGUGGGAUGACGGUCAAGUCGAGCCAUGGCCCUUAUAGGUUGGGCCUACACGCGUGUACAAUGGUAAUUACAAUGGGAAGCAAUAUGGUUGACAUAAAGGGAUCUCAAAAUAAUCGUCAGUUCGGAUUGUUCUCUGGCAACUCGAGAACAUGAAGUUGGAAUCGCUAGUUAAUCGCGGAUCAGAAUCGCGGUGAAUACGUUAUCGGGCCUUGUCAACACUGCCCGUCACGCCAUGGGAGUUGGUUUUGCUUGAAACUAGUGGGUAACGCAAAGAGGCAGCUAUUUAUAGUGGAAAUUACGACUGGGUGAAGUCGACAAGUAGCCGUAGGAAACCUGCGGAGCUGAUUAUCCUCUAG
rnacentral:rRNA from 1 species